rnacentral:misc_RNA from 1 species
GGUUGUUACAUUUUUUCCCUAAAGAAAAAAAAUUCGUCCCCGAAUUUGAACAAAUAGGGAAAACCAAAAGAAAGUGAUUGGACAAGUUUGAGUACUUGUCCCUUGUACCUUGCACAAACCAUUGAAAAUAUUCAGCUUCUUUCUAACUUUGUUGUAGCAUUCUAGGUGCCAUAACACUAUAACUUGUCCUAAUCACCCUUUAGUGUGUCCAUCUUAUAUCAUUCAUCUUGUUCUCUUCCUUGUAAUGAACUCUUUCCUGUUUCUGCUACUGUUAAAAUCUUCCCUCGCUUGUUGUACUUUCCUUUUAACCUUUGUCUCGAGUCUUGAGCUUAUA